UACAGGGCGAAUGUCUUGUAAUUGGAAUGAUGGUGACCCAAACCCUCACCAGAGUAGCAAUUGGAGGGCAAGUCUGGUGCCAGCAGCCGCGGUAAUUCCAGCUCCAAUAGCGUAUAUUAAACUUGUUGCAGUUAAAAAGCUCGUAGUUGUAUUUUUGCGUUAGCGGUUUGACCAUUUGGUUGGUUAUUUCGUUUUCGCUUUUGGGAAUUUCCCUUUUUACUUUGAGAAAAUUAGAGUGUUUCAAGCAGACUUUUGUCUUGAAUACUUCAGCAUGGAAUAAUAGAGUAGGACUUUGGUUCUAUUUUGUUGGUUAUUGAACCUUAGUAAUGGUUAAUAGGAACG
rnacentral:rRNA from 1 species